UUGUUUGGUUCGUUGUUGUUUCUGGAAUAGCUAGCAUAAAACCAAAGGCUGGCCCAUUGUCAGGUUAGCAGACUUCCUUUUUGGCGAUUCCUUCCCUCUUCUGUGAAGUUUUUAAUCUUCAAAAUAUCAAAUAGAGAAACAAGCAACAAACCAAAGGAAAACAAAACCCCCAUAGUUUUCCUUUUAACAUUAAGUUAUCAAUGUCCUUGAAAAGAUGGAGUCAGCCCUUUUACUGUAGAUCAUUAUACUUUGGGUGGAACCAGGGAAAAUAGUAGUUUGUGCAAAAUGGAAGCUGGUAAGGCUUUGCUUGUGUAAUGGUCUGCUUGAUUUCUCCCUGCUGGAAACCUGAGAAUAUGUCCAACCUAAAUGGUGGACAUUUAUUAAUUUAAUCUAUCCCACAGUGACUUGCUUCUUGUGGACCCCUUAUGCAUUACUAGACCCAGCUGGUUUGGAAAGGGGUGAUUUAUAGAGGCGUUAGUGAGUGUAGCUAGAUCUGUACUUGGACCAGAGUUCAGGAAUAGCAUUGAGCACCUACAAUUUACAUUGUCCAAGUGCUGGUUUGUGGGUUUUACUUUUUACCUCUUGGAGGAACCACUCUGUAAGCUGAAGGGGAAAACAAGUGCUCAACUCUGGCAUUAGACUUUCAUGGAAUGAGGACACAGUCCCAGCUCAAAUAUAACCAUUUCUUCUAGCGAUUUCUUUUCAUCUUUCUUGAAGUAGAAGAAUUUGAGAUGGGGGUUUCAGCAGAUGACAGUCUAGCAGGUUGCACCUCUGGCUCAAGAUAUCAGCAUGUGGGAGGACAGAGGCUUUUGGACUUACUGCUUCGGGUGAGUUUGGAGCCAGGCAGAGCUUUGUGCAGCAGUACUCGGAGCUAUGUAGGGGCUGCAAUGGGUGCUGCUUGCUUGCUUCUCUGGAGACAGAGCUGAAACAAGAGAGGAAGUCUAGUUACCGUUUCUGGAGCGGGGAAGAGAGAAGUACAGGUUGGUGAGGGAGAGCAACACAGUAGCUUGUGAAGUUAGGAAGAAUUUUCUGAUGCUUGUUCAGUGUUAUCUCCCCUUCACUACUCUAGGAAAGGAAAAUUCUGUGAUCUGUGAAGAUUGUGAGAACAUAAAGCUUUGAGAAUAUUUUCAAAGCAAGCAGUAUUUUUCAGUAAGAGCGUUGUGUGAGUGUUUACAUGGGGCAGUAGAGAGAGGUAUUAGGAGAAAGCAUAGCUAAUAGUAACACAAUAAAUAUUGCUUUGGAAUUUAUGCACCUCUGGCUGAUUGUUUAGUGCUCUUGUCCUUGAAAAGUGCUCUGUGAAAUAUGAAGAUUUCUGUAGAAAAAAAGUUUUAGAAAUCUUUUUGCCUGUUUUAACCUUUUAAUAGUCUGAUUAUCAAAUGCUAGGGAGAUAAAAGUUCAUUCAACAUUAGAUUGUUGAGACAACCAAGUACUGAAUCAUAACCCUAAUGCCUGUUUAGUGCCAACUGCCAAAUAAAAUCAUGUUAUUGGAAUGAAGUGCCUAUAUCCUGUUAAGGCACAAGAAUACUUGGCAGUUAGCAUCCAGUCAUUUCACUAAGCUUUACAGCCAGGGAUUGUAAAGAAAGAGCGGAACUUGCAAAUAUUAGAUUGGCAGAAUUUAAAAAUGAAAGCAACAUGAAAGGUAAAAUCCAUUCAAUAAAUGUCUUUAGUCCCAGGCUAAUAAAGAUUUUUGACUAGUGUUUUUGUGCAAAUUCUCUAUGUUCAUGUUAAUUAAAUGUGCGGGGUAUUAUUGUUGGACCUUUUUUUGCACUCACUCUGCACUAUCAAACUCAUCAAAAUUUUCCCUAUUAAUUUUCUUUGAGGUAGACCAUCUCUGGUCUCUGAAUUUCAGAUUCCAUUUUCUGUCUCAGCUGUCUGGGCACAGAUCGUAUUCAUGUCUGAUGACUUGAUGACUACCUUAGUUAGUGUAUCCUAAACUGAAUUCCUUUCAGCUUUUCCCUUCCCUGUUCUGUCAUCAUCAUCUCAUUGCUCUUGCUUCCUACUUUGCCAUCAUCUUACUAUUUUCCUACAGUGUCACAUGAUGCCAACUUUCAGUUGCGUCAUGAAAUCAAAAAUUUGUUUUUAAAGAUCUGUUCAUUUCCACUAGUGCUUACUACAUAAAGAUAUUGAUUUCUGUAUUGACUGUAUGGACAGGAUCUGCCUAACUUUGUGUGCCCAUAAGGCACAUACCUUGCUGGGACUGUAUCAAUACCAGCCCUUCCAGAUUGCACAUUCUUGCAUCAUGCAGCAUGCGGGGCUGCAGGAACGCAUCCCGCUGACGCACGGGAGCAUAACAGAAGAAGGGACUGUUGAGGCAGGACAUGGGGGUGGGGAGGUGAGGAAAUAAAGCAAACGAAGUUCAGCUGUUUGAAAUCCCAAAUAAAAAACUGUCAGCCUGAGGGAGCUCACAAUUUAGUGCUCCAGCUCCUUGACAGAGUGUGACAAUUUAGGAUUAUUUGCAUAAAUCUAAGAUACUGCUGAAAGCAGGCACUUUCAACAAGCUGUCUUAUUGCAAGGAGGGGACAGAUACAGUCGAGGCUUUGAUCUCUCAAGAACUUGGCACGUGAGUGUUCUCUCUGACUCCUUACUAAGAAAUCUUCCUCUGGCAUUUCUCCCCAAAUGUACCUUCUCCUACUUCAGCAAUAUUGAAAUGGGCUUAACAGUUCUAGGAAUGGCCUGGGAGAUGAGUGCUAUUCCUGGCCUUGCCACUCUCUGAUUUGCUGUGUGAUCUUAGACGAGUUAUAGCCCCAUUUCAGUUUGCUUAUCUGUAAAAUGUAAAUAAUGCUCAUGGAACUUCACAAUAGUUUUGAGUUAUGUGAAAAGCUGAUAGGAUGUAUUUAUAGAAGUACAUUUAGUUGAUGUUGAAAUAUUUUCUGCUAACUUUUAUAUAGCAUUGUACUUUAGAAAACUUCUAUAGCAUGACAUAUAAAUGUGAAGAAAAUUAUCCAUAGAUAGAGUAUGGUGGAAACUAUCUAAGAGAUUGUAAUUUCUUGUGAGACUUUGAAAAGGCAACCUAUAGUACUGCUAUCUGCAAUUUCAUUUUAUUGCCAUUUCACUUCAGUUUUCAUUUACUUUAAUUCAGAAGUGACUAAACAUAUUCAAACUUUCAAAGAAACUGAAUUUAAGGUGGGGGAGAGAAACAGUAAUAGAAAAACAAACAUGUUAUAGUCUAGCACAUGUAGAUACAUGUGCUAGCAUUCUCCUUCCUUAGAAUCCUAAAACAUUUCAGUUUGGGGGUAGGGUGGAUAUUCUUAUCAAGGCACUAAACUUUGUUUUGCUGGCAUUUGAAAUGUAGCUAGCUUUGAGAAGUGAGGAAGCUGUUUAGCAGAACACAGCAGUGCUGCACAGUAUGUCAGGAGACAAAGAACAACACAGUCAAAGUAUAAGUGAAAGCAGCAUUUGGCCACACUGGAAUCUGACCAGUCAAGAAUUGGUGUUUAUAACCAAAGGAAAAAAACACCCAAAGCCAUGGCUUGUCUCAGUAUGUUUACCAGUCUUUUUGGCUUAAAAUCAGUAAUGGGCUUUAUUGAAAGCAUUCCUUUAAAAUGGUGACCUUAGGAGCCAGGCUAGAUUGAUACCUUACAUUAGUACAACCUCAGCACAGUUACAAGAUAAGUAAGGCUUAGAGGUUAGGCUUUUGUAUAUUUGAGUUGCAUAUUUUAAUAAACAUAUUCUGUUUGCAUAUUACUUCUGCCAUCUUACAAGUUGUAUUGCAAAGUGGAGCUAGGAAGGAGGACAGAAGGCAGAGAACAUAAUCUUGAAAUCGGCUAUGGCUGCAAAGUAGACCUUGUAAAAGCUGUAAAAUUGAGCUAUGAUUAUGGCCUAUCUUUUCUGGAAGGCAGAUACAAAAUUAUAGUAAAUUUCUGCAGCUGUUUGCAGAAGUUGCAGUGUUCAAUUUGAGAAAGGUUUGCCCUCCCCAGGUCAUGUUUUCACUUACAGAAAUGUUUUCUCUUAUGAAAUUCACAUGUACUUAAUGUAGGGUGCCAGGCUGAUCACUGCAGCUGUUUAAAAUAGAAAAGCAGAUGGAACAAAUGUGAAGAUUUACCGCACAGCUUGAUCUCUUCCCCUGAAGCAGCCAUUCAUCAUCAGCACCGCCGAGACAAACUGCAAAACGAGUUUCCCUUCAUGGCUGUGAUUGGGCUCUGAGAGGUGGCAGAGCUGCACGACAGUCUCCCGAUUGGCUGGGCGGGAACACACCUCUGGAAUCUGUUUAUUUCCCAAAAAUAAGAUACAAUCUUUUACAUUUCGCCUAGAGAUCUUUUAUCUUGCAUUUAAUAUCCAAAUAAACCAGAAAAAACGCAGUUAACCUUUUUGGAACAGAUGUAGUACUUUAGAUGGUUGGAAUGAAUUCAAGUUUUUGGGGUUUUAUUUGGUGGUUUUUUGUUUUUUCCUCAUUUUCUCCUGAGAAAAUUGUGCCUGUGCAAGUUGUCUAGAUAUGUUGUUUGCAUUUUUCUGGGUGACUAUGUAUCAUAUUCAAGAACUUCCUUGCAUCUUAGCUAGAGCUGAAAGUUGUUUUCACAUUUUAUAAUGUAUUGACCUCAGCUUCUACUAAAGGCAGUUAUUCUUCUAAAGCUGUUUUUAUGUCUGCUCAGUAAAAUGUUUACACUUGCAGUACUGUCUUUCAUUAUUUUUGUAAAGGUCAAAUUGCUAUUUCUGAUCAUUAUUUAGUGAGUUUCCUUUUUAUUAUGUUAAUCAAUUGAAAUAGAUCUGGAAUUUUCUUGGAUUUUUUUUUUUUUUAAGUUAAGGACUUAAACUAUUUUGAUGCCCUGUGUAAAAUAACUCCAGACUGCAACUGAAUGAUUUGAUCAUCUGCAGUGAAUGUUCCAGCUGAGUAAGUAUCUGGCAUAACUGAAUACAUCAGUACUCAUUAACCUACUUCCUCUCUCUCUUUCAAAAAAAGGUAGAAAAUUAUAUGGAAAACACAUAUGACUUUUGUUGUGGUUCACAUGGGAUGCAUACAGAAGCAGAAGGCUGUGAAAGGCUAGUUUGUGAAGCAGGAACUUGUGGUAUUAUCAAGUAACAAGGAAUUGGACCAGCACCAAACAGGAAUGUUGACUGUAGGAGUAAUUGCCUUCAGAAGAAGGCAAAGAUACAGAGAGAAUAAGAAUGGAAAUAGAUGAGAGAGAAGAUUAAAGGCAAGAGAGGCUGACUACCAGAAAGCUCUUAAAACCCAAGUUCAGUUUUUCCCUUCCUCCCUGAAUAAUUGGAUUUGCUUCUGUUAUAUUUAAAUAUGGAUAAAGGCAGUAGUCAGUAAUAUGUAAAUUGCCAGUCGACUUUUGAAAAUGCAUUUAUUUUCAUGAUCUAUACAGAAUUAAGUGUUGAGAUUUUUAAACGAUCAGCUGUGAUACCUUAUUGGUGUUGCUGAAUUAAUAUUAAACAUUCCCUUCUUAAAUCUUUGCACCCUCAGUGAUGGUUUUAUAAGCUUUCACAUUAUCCUAUAAAAAUUCCUUGCUCUUUGGAGCAAAGUGUGGAGGAAAUAACACGUGCACUUACGAAGGAAUUACCAGGAAAAUAUACUUUCAAUUCCCUAAUACACAAGUCUUUUUAAUUGUUUGUUUAAAAUCUUAACCCAGAAAAGUGACAGAGAAAAGCCUUCCUCAGAAA